AGCGAACGCUGGCGGCAGGCCUAACACAUGCAAGUCGAACGAAGUCUUCGGACUUAGUGGCGGACGGGUGAGUAACACGUGGGAACGUGCCUUUAGGUUCGGAAUAACUUAGGGAAACUUGUGCUAAUACCGAAUGUGCCCUUCGGGGGGAAAGAUUUAUCGCCUUUAGAGCGGCCCGCGUCUGAUUAGCUAGUUGGUGAGGUAAAGGCUCACCAAGGCUACGAUCAGUAGCUGGUCUGAGAGGAUGACCAGCCACAUUGGGACUGAGACACGGCCCAAACUCCUACGGGAGGCAGCAGUGGGGAAUCUUGCGCAAUGGGCGAAAGCCUGACGCAGCCAUGCCGCGUGGAUGAUGAAGGUCUUAGGAUUGUAAAAUCCUUUCACCGGUGAAGAUAAUGACUGUAGCCGGAGAAGAAGCCCCGGCUAACUUCGUGCCAGCCGCCGCCGUAAGAC
rnacentral:rRNA from 1 species